UGACCUCAACUCAGUCGUGAUUACCCGCUGAAUUUACGCUUAUAACUAAGCGGAAGAAAAGAAACUAACGAGAAUUUCAUUAGUAAAGGCGAGUGAAAAGGAAAAAGCCCAACGCUGAAUCCAAUAGACAUUUGGCGCUAACCGGAAAUGUCGCAUACAGGUACAACUAUUCGCAACAUGAAUCCAAACAUCCAAAGUCCCCUUGAGCGGGGC
rnacentral:ncRNA from 1 species